UACGGAAGGGGCAAGCGUUGUUCGGAAUCAUUGGGCGUAAAGGGCGCGUAGGUGGUUCUGUAUGUCUACCGUGAAAGCGUACGGCUCAACCGUAUUUUGUCGGUGGAAACUGCAGGACUUGAGGCUGGGAGGGGCUGGUGGAAUUCCCUGUGUAGCGGUGAAAUGCGUAGAGAUCGGGAAGAACAUCGGUGGCGAAAGCGCUCUACUGGGCCAUAACUGACACUCAGGGACGAAAGCUAGGGGAGCGAAUGGG
rnacentral:rRNA from 1 species